rnacentral:rRNA from 1 species
AUGCUUUCUCGCGUGGUUGAUGAUGUUGGUGCCCAUAACAUUGUUCAGAUUGUCAUGAAUGACGUGUCACCCCAUAUGCAGAUGGCACGGCAGUAUGUGCUAAAUAAAUAUGACAGUUUUUUCUUCGUGCUAUGUGCUGAUCAUUGCAUCAACCUUCUGCUUGAGAAAAUAGCAGUGCUCGAGCAUGUCAGUGAAGUCCUAAUGAAGGCAAGGGAAAUUACAUGGUUUUUAUAUGGCCAUGCACUGCCAAUGAAACUGAAAGGAAGAUAUGUUCAGGAGGAGAUUUUGAGCAGUUCUUAUCUGAGAUUUGUGGCAGUGUUCAUCACAUUAGAGAGGUUAGUUUCUGCAAGAGUAGGUCUGGUGCAGAUGUUCAGCUCGCCUGAAUGGGUUCCCUCUGGUUGGACUUGUCUUGAUUUGUUCGAGCGUAUCCAGAGCAUAGUAAAGACAGAUGAUGCAUUCUGGCAUGCUGCUGCAGAAGUCGUGAAGGUUACAAACCCACUUGUCAGUGUGUUGUAUAAACUAGAAUCUGAUAUCUGUCCGAUGGGUAUCUUGUAUGAAGCCAUGGAUCGAGCAAAAGAAGAGAUAUCUCUCAAUAUCGGAGAUGAAAGUGACUCUUAUUGGUGUAUGAUUGACAGGAUAUGGGAUGGUUACUUGCAUAGUCCUCUCCAUGCUGCUGGUCAGAUGCUAAACCCAAGGAUCUUUUACACAGCUGGAUUCCAGCCUGAUGCUGAGAUCAGCAGCGGCAUCGCGGCCUGCACAAUCCAACUGGGCAAGGCUCAUUACAAUGCCAGAAAAGCGUCUGCACAAUUGGAAGUGUAUGAAAAGAAGUUCGGCUAUUUCGACACAGAUCCAGCAAUGCAGCAAAUCAUGGAAUUACCACAAGUUGAAUGGUGGUCGACGCACGGAGCUCGCGUGCCCGACCUGCAGACCCUGGCGAGGCGUGUCCUGAGCCAGACGUGCUUCGGCGCCACCAGGUACAACAUCGACUGGAGCCUGUCGGAGAAGCUGCACGCCGAGUGGGAGGAGAUGACGCCGCCCGAGCAGGAGAGGUUCCGGCACAAGGAGUACGUCCACUACAACCGCUUCCUCGCCGGCGCCGCCCCGCUCCUGCACGGCUCCUCCGUGAAGCAGCACGACAGGGUGACCAUGGUGCUGCACGACUGGAUCAGACCGCAGAAACAGGCCGCUGGUUGCCACUGA